rnacentral:lncRNA from 1 species
CAUCAAUAAAAUGAAGAAGUUACUUAAAAUAUUGACACGUUCAAUGGGAUUUAUAAGGUUUACUAACAGUACCAGGAUAUAAAAAAAAGGGGGAGGGCCGGUUGGUAGGUCAACUUGGAGUAAUACUUUGAAAAAAGUAUAUUAACUUAUCAUACAUGCAUGUAUGAAGUUCAAUCAGUAGGCCCUUUUCCAUAUACAUACAUACUCCUCUGAUUAUAUAAGUGUUGUACUGCAUAAAUCCAUGAUUUGAAAAAUAUCAGGACGAUGUCAGAAGAUCUCAGAA